GCACUCGCUUUAGCAGCACAUAUACUAAAGUUGGAACAAUACAGAGGGGAGCAUGGUCCCUGCACAAGGAUGACAUGCAAAUUCCUGAAGUGUUCCAUAUUAAA